ACGGUACGGAAAGCCCCCCACCGAGACCCUGACCCCAUCCCCCCCCCCCCCCCCCCCCCCUCCCACAGUCAGGGGGAACCCAGACGAUAAAGAGAACCCCCUUCUCCACCUGACACCUCCCAUUGAGACCCUCACCCCCCCCCCCCCCCCCCCCCUCCACGGUGUGGGGUGUCGAGACGAUAUGGAGAGACCCCCCCCCCCCCCCUCACGUCAGGGGGUCUCCAGACGGUACAGAGAGCCCCCUCCCCCGUUGCGUUGGACAACGCAGGCGGGCGGAGCUUCUGGAAUACUUGAAGUGGGAGAGACUGCCGUUUUAAACAUUUUAUUUUAUUUUAGUAUUUUAUUUUCGGGCAGAGUUCCUCGCCUUGGAGGGUGACGUGGUGCGGAGUGGGGGGGGGGGGGGGGCUAGGGGGUGAGAGGGUUUGAGAGAAGGCAUCACAGUGUUUAAACCCCUCUGUCGAAGGAUUAAUCUGAGAGGACGGUUGGAGGUGAAGGGGGGGGGGGGGUGGAGGUGAAGGCGGGGGUGACUGUGGUCAGAGGGGCCUCGGAUCAACACACGCCAUCGAACCACAGCCACCCCCCCCCCCCCCCCCCCCCCCCCCUCCAACCAAAAAAUACAACAAACUGGAUUGGACUGAAACUCUCGGGGGCAGCGUCCAAAAUGGACGUGUGACCGUUGGCCGAGGGAAAGACAAAGGCAUUCGAUGCCUCACCAUUUAAAAAGACUGAACCCCCCCCUUCUCCUACCCAUCCCGUAGUGUGUGUGUGUGUGUGUGUGUGUGUGUGUGUGUGUGUGUGUGUGUGUGUGUGUGUGUGUGGCAGAGUGAGCUUUGAAGAGUCACAGGCUUGGAAGUUGUGUUCGCACAACCCCAUCAUUUGUUUUGUUGUUUUUUUCUUUCCUGUGUUGUGAAAGAAUAACGAAUAGACAAAAAAAAUGAAAACAAAAGCAGCGGGUUGUCCACGAC